GAGGUGGAUGCGUGCUGGUGUGCGCCGCGGUCUUCAAAACCGUUGUGGGGGGUUAACAGCCUCCCGGAUGGGUUCGAUCCCCAUCCUCUC
rnacentral:tRNA from 1 species